AUUGAACGCUGGCGGCAGGCUUAACACAUGCAAGUCGAGCGGGCGAGGUUGCUUCGGUAACUGAGCUAGCGGCGGACGGGUGAGUAAUGCUUAGGAAUCUGCCUAUUAGUGGGGGACAACAUUCCGAAAGGGAUGCUAAUACCGCAUACGUCCUACGGGAGAAAGCAGGGGCUCUUUAUGACCUUGCGCUAAUAGAUGAGCCUAAGUCAGAUUAGCUAGUUGGUGGGGUAAAGGCCUACCAAGGCGACGAUCUGUAGCGGGUCUGAGAGGAUGAUCCGCCACACUGGGACUGAGACACGGCCCAGACUCCUACGGGAGGCAGCAGUGGGGAAUAUUGGACAAUGGGGGGAACCCUGAUCUAGCCAUGCCGCGUGUGUGAAGAAGGCCUUUUGGUUGUAAAGCACUUUAAGUGGGGAGGAGGCUUACCUGGUUAAUACCUGGGCUAAGUGGACGUUACCCACAGAAUAAGCACCGGCUAACUACGUGCCAGCCGCCGCGGUAACAC
rnacentral:rRNA from 1 species